GACGAACGCUGGCGGCGUGCUUAACACAUGCAAGUCGAACGGAAAGGCCCUGCUUUUGUGGGGUGCUCGAGUGGCGAACGGGUGAGUAACACGUGAGUAACCUGCCCUUGACUUUGGGAUAACUUCAGGAAACUGGGGCUAAUACCGGAUAGGAGCUCCUGCUGCAUGGUGGGGGUUGGAAAGUUUCGGCGGUUGGGGAUGGACUCGCGGCUUAUCAGCUUGUUGGUGGGGUAGUGGCUUACCAAGGCUUUGACGGGUAGCCGGCCUGAGAGGGUGAACGGGCACAUUGGGACUGAGAUACGGCCCAGAGUCCUACGGGAGGCAGCAGUGGGGAAUAUUGCACAAUGGGCGGAAGCCUGAUGCAGCAACGCCGCGUGCGGGAUGACGGCCUUCGGGUUGUAAACCGCUUUCGCCUGUGACGAAGCGUGAGUGACGGUAAUGGGUAAAGAAGCACCGGCUAACUACGUG
rnacentral:rRNA from 1 species